CAACAGUGAGCAAGCAAUAAAACACCUGCUUCGAGUAGUGCACCACAUCUAUAAAACUUGCCAUCACAACACGACACCAAUGAUCAAACAAGGCAUUUAAUGAAUAAUCCGGAGUAGAUUUUUAUUUCUCGAAGAAAAUUAGACUUGUUGUUGCUAUGGCAUAACGUCUUAUUUUUCUUCUAGACAAUAAUUUGUUUAGAUCGCGGCACCGUUAUGUAGUUUUUUUUUUUACCCAGACUUGUCUAUUGUUGUCAAGUAUAGGUCUCUGCAGGAAAGCAAUGGGAGUUACAAGAUCAAGGUGUUUUUACACCAUGAUACCUGAUUGGUUGAUGUAAUAGUGACGUUAGGUUUAGGGAUGGGGUUGGGUAAGGGGGAUCAUUUAGAUUGCAUGAUUCAGAAACACCCAGCAGUUUUAAACCACCCACAUGGUGAUAAACGCCCACUUUUGCUCUGCAGAGACCUUUAAGUCUCAUUGUUGUGGUGUAAUGAUACAGCUUAGAUAACCCCGCCCCCUAAUCGUUACGUAUGAGCAAAGCGAACUGUGAUUGGUCAACCGCACGUCAACAAUCUAAAUGUGCAGUGACUGGUGAGCACUUUAAUUGUAUCACUGUGAGGCGGAAAAAUAUAAAAUAAACGUGCUUACUGAUUGACAUAGCGUUUAGAUGGCGUUUGUGCACUGUUUCAUUAAGAUCCGACAACGAAGUCCAAUGACAACGCUGACUUUAUAAGCAACGAAACUGUCAAAAUUGCAAGCAUGCAUGUCAGUCAGCUCCUCUUAUUAUAAAUAACGUUUAAGUUUUUCGCCUCUCCCUCUCGUUUUCAUUGUAGAUGCAGGUUUACCCAAUGUCGCACCUCAACCACAGCAGUUCACACAUGAAACUGAUCACAGUCAUCCGAGUUCAACUUCCUGCUCCUAAAUAUCAGAUCAUGAUGCUGUAUCAAACUUCGAAACGUCGCUUGACUUGUUAACGUGGACAUUAUUGCCCCUGCUGGUAGAUGCCCAAACUGCAACCAUUCUACGGAUAACCAGCAUCCAUCUCCCGACUCUCAUUCAAAAAUGCCUAUAAAUUU